GGCGUUUGCGCCACCCCUACCUCCCUUCCCUUCCACGAAUCUCUCCCUUUGCUCUCUAACCCCCAGUUCCGCGAGAGAUGGCCCGGCGAAGACAGACCUCCUGGACUUGAGGCCGACUUCACCAAAUCCGCCCCGGGAAAAGGCGAGGGCAAAGGCGGGGCGGACAGACCCAGCUGCGGCUGAGGGACUGAGGUCCCUAGCAAGGAGCAGAGAUGGGGAGCUGGAUCCGCGCAGAACCCCGGAAAAGCGCCAGCAGGAUUGCACCGAGAACAAAUCCUCCGCACCCUCGCCCAGGGCUGGGGCGCAGUGCGCUGGUGCUCCUCUAGCUGGGCGGUCCCUGUGCUCCAAACAAGAAGAUAGCUGACUUCCGGAUCCUUCACUCUUUGAUCCUGACCCAAGCCACUCGUGCCACUAGAAGCGCAUGCCUAUGGAAUACUCGCUCCUGUCUCCUUGUGGUGAAGCCUUCCGCUAAUGCCCAGAGCCUCCCAGGCUGGAUUAGUGGGUAGGAGCAAAACAGGAUAGUGGAGACAAUCAGCAGAGCAGCAGCGUCUAUUUCCUCGGGAUUCCUCCCAGGAACCCUAUUCGAAGCCAUUCCUUCUAAAAGUUUGCAGCCAGUCUCUCUUUCCUUUGUUGGUUUUAAGAGGAGGCAGUAGAGCUACCUACAUACAAAAACGAAAGCCUGAUACUGGUAACCUAAGUCUUUACUUAACCAUCCUCUUCGGAGGCUUUG
rnacentral:lncRNA from 1 species